rnacentral:misc_RNA from 1 species
GGGUUAAAUCAAAUGAAGGGCGAGCAUCACUCUCUCUUCUUUGCGCACACACACAAGAAAGACCGCGACCAAGCCAUGCCGCUGAUCCUGCCACAACCUCAGCAGAAGUCGAAUGGCAGGGGUUGCUACCCCGCUCGCUACUCGAUACCUUGAGAUAUCCUCCUGACAGCGACAAAUGACUCACCUCUGUCAUCCAUUCCCCUCUUCUCUCUCUCACUCUCGUCAAUCAUCUAUAUUCACAUGAUCAUCUCACAAACCCUAAACAAUUCCUCC